rnacentral:lncRNA from 10 species
GGGACUCAAGGAAGGCCGCUACUCCCUGACCAUACCACAGUGUAAUCACCUAUUGUGAGCAGUACAGUGUGGGGCUAAAUCCUGCCAACAUGGGAUCACUGGGGAGUUUCAGUCUCUGAAACACCUAGUAAUGCAAGAUAUUGAAUUUCAUGGAAAGUGUUUUGGAGUUAACAUCAGAAUAUCUGCGUUCUUCAUAUGAUGCCGCCAUUUUGUGGCAUUGAGCAAGUCACUCAACCUCCAUCAUUUUCUUCUCUCCCUCCUCAAUAGCAGAAAGAAGUUUCUAUAACCCAGAGAUGGGAAAACUGGAGCCCAAAGGAUGGAAAUACUGAACCCAUGGGCUCUGUCACUAGACUGCAUCCCAGGGCCUCAACAUAAUAUAUUCUUAUUUCCCAUUUUCAAAAGGUGAAAAAGCAGAAUGAUGGCCAGGCGAGUUCUCUGGCUAGGAAGAAGCCCAGCUGGUAUACACCAUUUUUCUGCACUUCCCCUGGGCAGCCAGAUGACUAGGAUUCAAGGACCAGCCUACCACUUUCUAAGCUGUUUGCCUUGGACAAAUGACUUAUUGCCUCUGAACUUCACUUUACUCACCUGUAAAAUGAGGAGACUCCAGAAGAAUGAGAAGAUUCCAUGAGAUGACUCUAGCAGAUCCAUUUCAGAAAAUACUCUGCGUGUGAAGUUAUUACAAGGAACUUGGCAGGCACACUCCCCUUCACCUAUGGGGCUUUUCUUUUUUCUUCCAUGAGAGCUUCUACCCAGAUAUGCAGAUAGAAGAAAUGUAUUGGUCCCAAAGACAACAAUGUCUGUGAAGCAGGAUUCAAAGAGAUGAAGGGAGGGGAGAACAAGCCUUUCAAAUUAUAGCAAGUGGGUGGUCUUCAACUGCUUUUACUUCUUUUUAAAAUUCCAGAUCAUACUGGGGUAACCUAUUAGAAAGAACCCUGUCCUGGAAUCCUGGAAAAGAGGCCCUGCUAGGAGCUGACCUUGGACAAAUCACUCCCUUCUCUGAACCUCACUGUUCAGGGGGCUGAGAACAGAGGGUCCCUAAGGAAGAGUGUUGUAUGAGAACAGUCUCCGCUCUUGACCCAAGCAAACCUGGCUUCAAAUCUCAACUCCUGUGGCUGACUAGCUGUAUGACCUUGACCUUUCUCAGUUUCCUCAUCUAUAAAGCAGGAUUAAUAAAAGGUACCUAUCUAAUAUGACUGUUCUGAGAAUAAAAUGAAAUAAACUACAUAGGUGAUUUGACAUUGUGCUUGGUUUACAGUAGGUGUUUAAUAAAAGGAAAUUGCUAUAUUAUUA